rnacentral:rRNA from 1 species
GACGAACGCUAGCGGCGCGCUUAACACAUGCAAGUCGAACGGAAAGGCCUGCUUUCCCUUGUGGAUUGCGGGUACUCGAGUGGCGAACGGGUGAGUAACACGUGAGUGAUCUGCCCCCAACUUGGGUAUAAGCCUGGGAAACUGGGUCUAAUUCCCGAUAGGACUGCAGGGUGGUGCCUGUGGUGGAAAACGAUUUUCUAGUGGUUGGGGAUGAGCUCGCGGCCUAUCAGCUUGGUGGUGGGGUAAUGACCUACCAAGGCGGCGACGGGUAGCCGGCCUGAGAAGGGUGACGGGCAACUUGGGACUGGGGUACCGGCCCGAACCCUAACGGAGGCCGCAGGUGGGAAUAUUGCACCAGUGGCGGAAGGCCGAUGCAGCGGCGCCGGGGGGGGGAUGACGGCCUUCGGGUUGUAAACUCCUUUCGACCGCGAGGAAGCCACCUGGUUGGAAGGGUGGUGACGGUAGUGGUAGAAGAAGCACCGGCUAACUACGUG